rnacentral:rRNA from 1 species
UAAUACGGAAGGUACGAGCGUUGUUCGGAUUGACUGGGCGUAAAGAGCACGUAGGCGGGUUUGUAAGUCGAUUGUGAAAGCCCCGGGCUCAACCCGGGAACUGCAGUCGAAACUGCAAGUCUUGAAUGCUUGAGAGGUUAGUGGAAUUCCAGGUGUAGGAGUGAAAUCCGUAGAUAUCUGGAGGAACACCAGCGGCGAAGGCGGCUAACUGGCGAUGCAUUGACGCUGAGGUGCGAAAGCGUGGGGAGCAAACAGG